CGAAGCGUGCGAUUGGAUUGCACGUCUAAGCAGUAAGGCUGAGUAUUAGGCAAAUCCGGUACUCAUUAAGGCUGAGCUGUGAUGGGGAGAAGACAUUGUGUCUUCGAGUCGUUGAUUUCACACUGCCGAGAAAAGCCUCUAGAUAGAAAAUAGGUGCCCGUACCGCAAACCGACACAGGUAGUCAAGAUGAGAAUUCUAAGGUGAGCGAGCGAACUCUCGUUAAGGAACUCGGCAAAAUGACCCCGUAACUUCGGGAGAAGGGGUGCUCUUUAGGGUUAACGCCCAGAAGAGCCGCAGUGAAUAGGCCCAAGCGACUGUUUAUCAAAAACACAGGUCUCUGCUAAACCGUAAGGUGAUGUAUAGGGGCUGACGCCUGCCCGGUGCUGGAAGGUUAAGAGGAGUGGUUAGCUUCUGCGAAGCUACGAAUCGAAGCCCCAGUAAACGGCGGCCGUAACUAUAACGGUCCUAAGGUAGCGAAAUUCCUUGUCGGGUAAGUUCCGACCCGCACGAAAGGCGUAACGAUUUGGGCACUGUCUCAACGAGAGACUCGGUGAAAUCAUAGUACCUGUGAAGAUGCAGGUUACCCGCGACAGGACGGAAAGACCCCGUGGAGCUUUACUGUAGCCUGAUAUUGAAAUUCGGCACAGCUUGUACAGGAUAGGUAGGAGCCUUUGAAACGU
rnacentral:rRNA from 1 species